rnacentral:rRNA from 1 species
AGUGAACGCUGGCGGUAGGCCUAACACAUGCAAGUCGAACGGCAGCACAGUAAGAGCUUGCUCUUACGGGUGGCGAGUGUCGGACGGGUGAGGAAUACAUCGGAAUCUACUUUUUCGUGGGGGAUAACGUAGGGAAACUUACGCUAAUACCGCAUACGACCUACGGGUGAAAGCAGGGGAUCUUCGGACCUUGCGCGAUUGAAUGAGCCGAUGUCGGAUUAGCUAGUUGGCGGGGUAAAGGCCCACCAAGGCGACGAUCCGUAGCUGGUCUGAGAGGAUGAUCAGCCACACUGGAACUGAGACACGGUCCAGUCUCCUACGGGAGGCAGCAGUGGGGAAUAUUGGACAAAGGGCGCAAGCCUGAUCCAGCCAUACCGCGUGGGUGAAGAAGGCCUUCGGGUUGUAAAGCCCUUUUGUUGGGAAAGAAAAGCAGCAGGUUAAUACCCCGCUGUUCUGACGGUACCCAAAGAAUAAGCACCGGCUAACUUCGUG